AGGGGGAUAACUACUGGAAACGGUAGCUAAUACCGCAUAACGUCGCAAGACCAAAGAGGGGGACCUUCGGGCCUCUUGCCAUCGGAUGUGCCCAGAUGGGAUUAGCUAGUAGGUGAGGUAACGGCUCACCUAGGCGACGAUCCCUAGCUGGUCUGAGAGGAUGACCAGCCACACUGGAACUGAGACACGGUCCAGACUCCUACGGGAGGCAGCAGUGGGGAAUAUUGCACA
rnacentral:rRNA from 1 species